UUUAUUAUUAUUAUUUAACAAAAAAAACCUCUCUAUUGUGUCUCAGUGAUGAGCAUAAUCAAUUUGUGUAAACAAUUUGUCUAAGAAAAACAAACUGUUUUCACCCUGAAGCUGAAAUGUAAUGCAGAAUGUGGUCUUACUAGAGCGAUGAUUAUUUGUCCUCUUCCUUUUCUGGCUUCAUCCCAUCUUACAAGCCACAGUCUGUGACACGUCAUCUGAAAACACAGCCUUAGAAGUCCACAGCAGGACAAUCUUUCUCAGAACAUGUUCAGUACUGUACUGAUGUGUGUUCUGUGCUAAGACAGUCACUAGAUGGCAGUAUAAUGAAGCGGGGAUCCAAGUUCAGGACUGUGUUAAAGGACAGAAUAAAUGCAUUCUGAUAACAGUACUCCAUAGCUGUGUCCCAAAGUUGAGUGUGCACACUUCGAAGACCAGACCUCCGAAGUGCACGAAGGGUGCUCCGAAGUGCGUGAGAUGCUCCGCCUUCACAGGAUUUCCGUCACCAGGUGUUUCGGAUUAGCGCUCUGUCGCAUAGCAACGGUGCGAGAAGAGCGCUGACGAGAGGACAGUCCUGCCAGGACAGGUGGAGCCAGAACUGCUCGUUUUUGUUUUUAUGAUUUACUCAUAAUGGAGGAGACGGUGAUGAACCUCAGGCUUAGCCAAGACCGAGGCCAGGUAAACUACACUGGUUUGCUGCGAUCUUCGUCGGAUUACAACUUUAAAUGCAGAGCAGACCUCUGUACUGCAGGAUAGAGCUGAAUGUGGCAGCGCUGGACAGGUGUUUAAUGGUUUUGUUCUGAGCAGGGAGACCCUGACAGUGCUGCUGGAUCUACUG
rnacentral:lncRNA from 1 species